rnacentral:rRNA from 1 species
UACGGGGGGAGCAAGCGUUGUUCGGAUUUACUGGGCGUAAAGCGUCCGCAGGUGGCACUUCAAGUCUGCUGUCAAAGACCGGGGCUUAACCCCAGAAAGGCAGUGGAAACUGAAGUGCUAGAGUGCAGUAGGGGUAGAGGGAAUUCCCGGUGGUAGCGGUGAAAUGCGUAGAGAUCGGGAAGAACAUCGGUGGCGAAAGCGCUACUGCUGGACUGCAACUGACACUCAGGGACGAAAGCUAGGGGAGCGAAUGGGAUUGAGAU